AUCCUAAGCAGAGCGCGCUCACGAGGUGAAUACAAAGAAAUGGGGUGUGACAAUACCGUGAACGCUUUUCUUCAUCACCACUCUUUAUUGUCGCUUCAAAAAUUUUGGUUUCUAAAUUGCUAUGAAAUGAAGGCACUGAAUUCGCGUAAUCUCAAAGUGACUUGUGCUAUUUUCGUUUCCCAGCGGAUGCCGCCAGGGUGUUUGGCUACGACAGCUACUGUGGCGUAGCCUGGUGCGGAAACAAUGGAAGAACGCGCAAGAGGCCAGAAACAAAGUUCUUCCGGGUUCCACGAGACGGAAGGUCAAAGGCGUGGCUGAAGUAUGCCAAAAAAAGACUACCUUCGGCAAAUAUCGUACAGUGAGCUACAGGCGAAGUGUUUCGUCUGCAGCAGUCACUUCACAGCGCGAAACUUCAAGAACCCUGGGCGGACAAAGCUAAUGAAAACGCUGUGCCUUCAGUUCGCCCAUCGACAUAUUCAGAUCCUAAAAGAGCUAGAGGUAAAGAUUUUUUAACUAUCCAUAUACGAGAAGUACAUUACUUAUGUUAACUUUAUUUAAACAAUGCUGCUUCUACAGCUUCACAACCUAACUUCUAAUAGACGAAACCCUUCCAGACUCCAUGGAAGCAACAGCCCCGCCAUGCGGCGCAGACCCCAUGGAGGCUGCAGCCCCAUCAUGCAGUGCAGCCUCCAGCUUCCGGCCCAAGGAACCCUCAACCGCUGCCCAUGACUUCAUGGAAGCGGCAGCCUCACCGUGCGGCGCAGACCCCAUGGAGGCUACAGCCCCAUCGUGCAGUGCAGCCUCCAGCUUCCGGUCCAAAGAACCC
rnacentral:lncRNA from 1 species